UUUCCCCAAUUUCUCAAAACUGACCACAAGUCCCUUAUCUUCUCCCAUGUUUUGACUUUCUUCUUCCAAACUCUUUUUUUUUGUGAGCUUGGGAUCAGCCCUUGAUCUUCCAUUAUAAGAUCUAGCGCUUGGGUGAUUUAUUUGAAGCCUUUAGUAAGUGUGAUUUAGUGUGAAGUUUGAGGGAUUAUUGACAAGCUCGUGGCCAUCUUUGAAGAUCUUAAAGAUUGGUGGUUGAUCUCUACUCUUCUUUAUCUCCUUUUUGCUAUAUUUGUUAAAGCUUCUAUUCAAGAGGAAAGGAUGUGGUGAUCUUGCCAAGUUAGAGGCGUGGAGAUAUGUUUUGAGAGCAUAAGGCUCUUUCCUUUUAUUGUAAUUAUUUUUGACAAGCUAAGGGCUUUAUGUGUAUGGGUUUGAAACCACUUUUGUGUAAUCGGGCUUAAACCUUGGAAUUUGUAGCCAUUGAGGGCAUUAAUUUAUACUAAACUUCCUUGUUACAUGCUAUAAAUUAAUAUUCUAGGAAUGUUGAAUAUAUAACCGUAUGUGGGGCAUUGUUUUGUAAAUCUCUUGAUGGUUAAUGAAUUACAAAUGUUGGAGAUUUA